rnacentral:rRNA from 1 species
AUGUGGAAAACGCAUGCUAAUACCGCAUACGCUCUACGGAGGAAAGCGGGGGAUCUUCGGACCUCGUGCUAGUUAGAUAGGCCUAUAUAGGAUUAGCUAGUUGGUAAGGUAAUGGCUUACCAAGGCGACGAUCCUUAGCUGGUUUGAGAGAAUGAUCAGCCACACUGGGACUGAGACACGGCCCAG